CAUUUAAUUACAUACAUCCCCAUAGUCCAUAGUUUAAGUAUAUAAACUAUGGACUAUGGGGAUGUAUGUAACAUAGGU
rnacentral:pre_miRNA from 1 species